rnacentral:lncRNA from 1 species
GGUGACCAGGAAUUCCGGCGAUAGCGGCGGCAGAGGAACGGUUCCUCCCCUGUGCGUCUCCUUUCUCACACGUCUUGUUCUCCUCUGGCUCUCCCUCUCUCCAACGACGGUGACUACUCCACUCUCCUCCACGGCGGCGCCGAAGCUCAGGAUGGCAAAGCGAGCUCAGGCUUCAUAGACGGGACGACGGUGAUGGCAGCUCUUCCCUCUGACCUCCAUUGCAUCUCUCUCUCGACGCCACUCCCUCAUCCCUGUUCAACCGGCACCAGGGCGGACUCCACGGAACGGCGGCGACAGGC